AACCGGAAGCCGGGUUACGG
rnacentral:snRNA from 1 species